CUGGCGGUAUGCUUACACAUGCAAGUCGAACGGUCUUUUCGGAGAUAGUGGCGGACGGGUGAGUAACGCGUAAGAAUCUACCUUCAGGUUGGGGACAACCAGUGGAAACGGUGGCUAAUACCCAAUGUGCCGAGAGGUGAAAGGCUUGCUGCCUGAAGAAGAGCUUGCGUCUGAUUAGCUAGUUGGUGGGGUAAGAGCCUACCAAGGCGACGAUCAGUAGCUGGUCUGAGAGGAUGAUCAGCCACACUGGGACUGAGACACGGCCCAGACUCCUACGGGAGGCAGCAGUGGGGAAUUUUCCGCAAUGGGCGAAAGCCUGACGGAGCAAUACCGCGUGAGGGAGGAAGGCUCUUGGGUUGUAAACCUCUUUUCUCAGGGAAGAACAAAAUGACGGUACCUGAGGAAUAAGCAUCGGCUAACUCCGUGCCAGCAGCCGCGGUAAUACGGAGGAUGCAAGCGUUAUCCGGAAUGAUUGGGCGUAAAGGGUCCGCAGGUGGCAUUGUAAGUCUGCUGUUAAAGAGUUUGGCUCAACCAAAUAAAAGCAGUGGAAACUACAAAGCUAGAAUGUGGUCGGGGCAGAGGGAAUUCCUGGUGUAGCGGUGAAAUGCGUAGAUAUCAGGAAGAACACCGGUGGCGAAGGCGCUCUGCUAGGCCAAGACUGACACUGAGGGGACGAAAGCUAGGGGAGCGAAUGGGAUUAGAUACCCCAGUAGUCCUAGCCGUAAACGAUGGGAUACUAGGCGUAGCUCGUAUCGACCCGAGCUGUGCCGUAGCUAACGCGUUAAGUAUCCCGCCUGGGGAGUAC
rnacentral:rRNA from 1 species